rnacentral:rRNA from 1 species
UUGUGGUUAAAAAGCUCGUAGUUGGAUCUCAACAGCCUUGNAAGCGGUUAACUUUGUAGUUUUACUGCUUUAUAGGCUGUGCUUUUGCUGGAGGUUUAGGGAUGCUCUUGAUCGAGUGUCUCUGGAUGCCAGCAGGUUUACUUUGUAAAAAUUAGAGUGCUCAAAGCAGGCUAAAAUGCCUGAAUAUUCGUGCGUGGAAUAAUAGAAUAGGAUGUCGAUCCUAUUUUGUUGGUUUUCGGGA